rnacentral:tRNA from 1 species
GAAGAGGCCUUGGUUUGGUGGUAAAGUGUCUGCUUGGGGUACAUAAGGUCUCUGGUUCAAUUCCCGGCAUCUUCA